rnacentral:misc_RNA from 1 species
UUCAAAAUAGCAUAAUUUGUGCAUUAUAUUUGCUAGCCAAGAUUAAACUUUUAUAUUUCUUAAGAUUAAGAUCAUCUCGGCAUGUGUUUGUCCAUGGAAAGGAAGAGAAGGAAGGCCAAAGGCAGAUGAUAUUUAGUAAUGGCAUUGGGUUGGGGUUUGCCAUUCCCAUCUCAUCUCUGUCCUAUGAACAAAUUGAAUUGGGGUGGUUAUCUCAUUUUGUUUCUUUCAUAAUUUUAUAAAUUAUCAAAAAUUAUAUUUUUAUUUGACCAUGAACUAUCUAGCUAAAGGAGAAAUAUUGAGAGUGACACAUCGGAGUGUCAUUAAUCACAAUUUACUCAUUCACAUGCCCACCUUUACUUCUUUAGGAUCUCCACCAUGUGUGCUCAAAUUCCACUUUCCAUGGUGAAAUCAUGCAAGCAAAACUUUUGAACUAAGCUUAUUAAGUUUUAAGAUGAAGAGAUUUUGAGGCUAGUUAGGGUAAUGAUUUAUUACAUCCAAGUUCGAAUUAUGUUUCCACUCCCUCUAUGAGUGGUGUUGAUGAUUAUGAUGAUUUGGUUUCAUCAUCUGAGAAGCUGCUAGCAGAUGUUUAGGCGGUGUAUUUUACAGGUUCAUGCAAUGUAAAAGUUUCUUUAUUGGAGCAGAUUAUUGAGUGCUUGUAGGGUUUGUAAAGCUGCUUGUGCUGGCUGAGGGUGAAAUGGGUUUGGGCAAGUGAAAGUGAUUUCUGUCCCUUGUGGGUAAAUUGAGCUUCAGAUAUGGUUAUUUGAAACUGGAAAAGGAAAAUGGCAAUGGUCACUAAAUGCAAUUCCACUACGUGUCUAAGCUUCCAGAGCUUAAAUUUUGUACUUGACUGGUAUAUAAAAUGAAAUCUAGUGUGAUGUAACUGUUGGGUACUGUUUUUGUAUGCAGUGGCAUAGUUGUGAUGCUAAUUUUUGUCAUCAUUUGCUGUAGUUGUUCUUUUCUUCCCAUCGCAGAUGCUUGUAAAGGCAUGUUCUUUAUGACAGCUUAGAACGUUGAGUUAUUCACUGCAUGAGUUGUUGCAGAUGAAUUUCAUCAUAUGGCUAUAGAUAAGAUGAGUGUUUUCUCUCUUGAGAGUAAAACUUCCUCAGUCCCUUCCUUUAGUGAAGAUGGUAGUUUCGUAGUAGUUAGUCGUGCUUAAGGAGAUUUAUCAUUUCUCUCUUCCAUCUUUGUUUUAAUCUGUGGUUCGUGUGAUUAUGAUCUAAAGCGUGGGUUCAGAAUUUCUCAACUUGGGUUUCUUCAUCCCUUGCUGGGGUUUUGGCUUUCAAUGUGAGGAUGUUAGAUUUAGCCAUAAAUGAGCUUUUUCAACGAACUGAUUCUCUGUCAUGGGACAAGGUAACGUUAGAAUUAAAUGCAGACGAUCAAGCUGCUGAAACGGUUUCUAGUACCAUAUUGGUUGGGUGAAUUAUUGCAGUCAAGGAAUAUCAGGUAACUCAUGUUAAAAAUGU